GACGAACCGUGCAAACGUUAUUCGGAAUCACUGGGCUUAAAGAGCGUGUAGGCGGCCAGAUAGGUCCGUUGUGAAAACUCGAGGCUCAACCUCGAGACGCCGAUGGAAACCAUUUGGCUAGAGUCCGGAAGAGGAGAGUGGAAUUCCUGGUGUAGCGGUGAAAUGCGCAGAUAUCAGGAAGAACACCCGUGGCUAAGGCGGCUCUCUAGUACGGUACUGACGCUGAGACGCGAAAGCGUGGGGAGCGAACAGG
rnacentral:rRNA from 1 species